UGGGGAAUAUUGGACAAUGGGCGAAAGCCUGAUCCAGCCAUGCCGCGUGUGUGAAGAAGGUCUUCGGAUUGUAAAGCACUUUAAGUUGGGAGGAAGGGCAGUAAGUUAGUACCUUGCUGUUUUGACGUUACCGACAGAAUAAGCACCGGCUAACUCUGUGCCAGCAGCCGCGGUAAUACAGAGGGUGCAAGCGUUAAUCGGAAUUACUGGGCGUAAAGCGCGCGUAGGUGGUUUGUUAAGUUGGAUGUGAAAGCCCCGGGCUCAACCUGGGAACUGCAUCCAAAACUGGCAAGCUAGAGUACGGUAGAGGGUGGUGGAAUUUCCUGUGUAGCGGUGAAAUGCGUAGAUAUAGGAAGGAACACCAGUGGCGAAGGCGACCACCUGGACUGAUACUGACACUGAGGUGCGAAAGCGUGGGGAGCAAACAGGAUUAGAUACCCGGGUAGUCCCUGAGCGGGCUGGCAAGGCGCAU
rnacentral:rRNA from 1 species